AUACGGAGGGUGCGAGCGUUAAUCGGAAUUACUGGGCGUAAAGCGCGCGUAGGCGGAUUAGUAAGUCGGAUGUGAAAGCCCUGGGCUCAACCUGGGAAUUGCAUUCGAUACUGCUUGACUAGAGUAUGGUAGAGGGAAGUGGAAUUUCCGGUGUAGCGGUGAAAUGCGUAGAUAUCGGAAGGAACACCAGUGGCGAAGGCGACUUCCUGGGCCAAUACUGACGCUGAGGUGCGAAAGCGUGGGGAGCAAACAGGAUUAGAAACCCCGGUAGUCC
rnacentral:rRNA from 1 species